GGCUGUCUGCAUGCACAUGCUUGAGUCCACUUUCCCAACUCCAGGAAGCUGCUGAUCACUAGUUUCAGGUGUUUUCUAUGUAGCAGGAGAUGGCCUUUCCCUGGCACUGGCUGUGACCAAUUAUUAUUUUAGAGAGACAGUUAACAACGGCCUGACCAUUACUGACCAUUACCUGAUUGUCACCUGACAUUCCUGAUGUGUGUGACAGGAGGUGGGGGGGGAGUGUGAAGUCGGAGAGAGCCCUCUUCUACCCUGCUUAUGCCUGAUGAGCUACCUACUAUAACAAGAUUUUACUUCUUUGAGUAUUUGGAGAAAGAGAUAAAGAAAGCUUCCCUCAAAAAAAUAGAAUGUAACUAAUUUGGUCUCUGAAAAUCUGGGUUAGUGUCCUGGCUACUGCAUUUAUUUAUCAGAUGGAGUUUCGCUGUUGUUGUCUGGGCUGGAGUGCAAUGGCGCAAUCUCGCCUCACUUCACUGCAUCCUCUGCCUCCUGGGUUCAAGUGAUUCUCCUGCCUCAGCCUCCCAAGUAGCUGGGAUUACAGGCGUGUGCCACCAUGCUUUGCUAAUUUUGUAUUUUUUUUUUUUUAGUAGAGAUGAGGUUUCACCAUGUUGGUCAGGCUAGUCUCAAACUCCUGACCUCAAGUGAUCCACCUGCCUCGGCCUCCUAAAGUGCUGGGAUUACAGAUGUGAGCCACUGUGCCCGGCCUCAUAUCCUUUUAAGGCACCAUCUGGUCUCUUCUAAACUCCCUUGAGUGGUUGAUUGAAGGAAAACAUCUAAGAACAAAUAAUUUU
rnacentral:lncRNA from 10 species